GGCUGUGGCCAGGGCCAGUGGGCCACUUGGCAGCUAUGAGGCUGUGUGUACAGAGAUUGUUGUCUUUGGAGGUGGUUUAGUGGCAUCGACUAGAGAAUUAGCUUGACCGGCUGUUUAUCGCCAUCAACCAUUCAACUGACAUUCACACAACAGGAGUAGAUGGAAACACACAUCAAUUUGCAUUUGGAUUAUGAUCUACCAGGGAUGUGCCAGUAUCAAAGUUUUCUGCAACAUCACAAUAUCACAGAGGGAGUGGUCCGUGGCUUUUCUUGGUAGAGGACAGUAGCCACUGUAGCAUCAGUAGUAUUGGUGGCAACCACUGUUUACUAAAGGAAGACAUGCUGAGACCAUCAAACCACACAACCUUCCAACUCAGGCUGCAGUCCUAUCACCCAGAUAAAUGCAGCUUGUUAAUAAAGACAGUUUCUGGACAGUAAAGCUGGGAGCUUUCACGAUGAGAGCUUUGUGGGCUAUGAUUAUGAGUAAACUCUGGUCAAAGAGGACAGGCCCGGGGUCAAGGCCGAAGCAGAGGAAUUCGUGCGAGAGGGAGGGCAACCAGCAGAUUUUGAUGAAGGGGAGGCAGAGGUCGGAGUGUGAUAGGCCAAGGAGCAGAUGUUCUCGGACAAGAUGAUGAUGAUGAACAGAUGAUUUUAUUUAUUUUUAGUUCUGCAUAAUUUGUUCUCACUUGUUUGAAUAAAAUCUUGA